rnacentral:lncRNA from 1 species
GGGUGUGGCCUGGGUAGGGGAGGAAGAAGGACAUUCGGCUAACAGAUUGAGGUUGAAUCCUGACAAGACAGAAGUACUGUUUUGGGGGGACAGGAGAUGGGCGGGUGUGGAGGACUCCCUGGUCCUGAAUGGGGUAACUGUGCCCCUGAAGGACCAGGUGUGCAGCCUGGGAGUCAUUUUGGACUCACAGCUGUCCAUGGAGGCGCAGGUCAAUUCUGUGUCCAGCGCAGCUGUUUAUCAGCUCCAUCAGGUACGCAGGCUGAGACCCUACCUGCCCGCAGACUGUCUCCCCAGAGUGGUGCAUGCUCUAGUUAUCUCUCACUUGGACUACUGCAAUGCGCUUUAUGUGGGGAUACCUUUGAAGGUGUGAUGGGAUGAUGAGCUGCUUGUGCGUAAAAUAGUAUCCCCUCAGAGUUUGUUCAAGUCCACAAACCUCUGUCUGUGACGGAGCCCUUCAGACAUGGCUCCUCUAGUCACUAGCAGAUUCCGACAGUGGUUGCUUUCGGAAUCGCUUCCCACAUAAAAGCUCCUUAACGGAAACACGUCUUCUGGACUCUCUGCGUGACAGUUUCCGGCGAGGAGUGGGUGUUCCUACAGGAGGUCCUGAAACCUCCCCACUGUUUUCGCUGGAAGUGUCUCUGAGCCAUCCCUCCAGCUCACUUUCCCUCAGCUCAGCUCCUCUCCCCUACUGGUUCCCUCUUCAGCUGCUGAGUCUCUCCCAACCUGUGUGAGCCCUUUCACCUCCCUUCCUUCCGAUGGCAGUUCCCUGACAUCCACCUCCCCUCCAGGGCCCCUUUCACCCCCUCUCGCCCCCUCCUCUACGGGCGGUGAGGAGGCAAAACCCAGGAAUGAACUUCCUUCAUCUUCCGAUGUCUCGAACACUUCUCUCCACCUGUUGCGGUUCCUGGUCUCGAAGUACUCCUCCUCCUCAGAGUCCAUCUCCCCUUCCCCUUCCGAGUCCGGGAAUCCUUCCAACUCCUCCUCCUCAUCAGUGGUCCCAAAGUAUUCCCUCCGGAACCUCUCCACAGGCUGAGGUUUCCUUGGGAACCUUUGAUGGAACGUUUCUAUCAAUACCUCGUCAUUGAUAUCUUCGGCCAUUACCCAAGUGUUUUCUGACUCCGGUUCUCCUUCCCACGCUACCAAAUACUCCACCUGAUCCCCCUUCCACCUGGCGUCGAGGAUUUCUGCCACAUGGCUGCUGCAUUCUCUUUCUUCUAUGACCGGUCCCCAAGUGGCCAUCCCUUCUCGUCCCCCUUCGUACGGUGACAGUAACGACCUGUGAAAUACUGGGUGCAGUUUCAUGUGGUUGGGUAACCGGAGCCUGAAAGCCACUGGGUUGACCUGUUGAAUGACCUCAAAGGGACCCAACCUCCUGGGUCUUAAUUUCUUACAACCUCCUUUGAACGGCAGCCCUUGGGUUGACAGCCACACCCUAUCUCCCACCCUUAUGGUUUCACCUUCCCUUCGGUUCUUGUCUGCCUGCCUCUUGUAUUCUUCCUUCGCCCUUUCUAAGUUGAGUUGGAGCUGACGAUGGAUUGCUUCCAUUUCUUCCACAAAAUGCUCGGCUGCCGGGACGCUCCAUCUCUCCCCAUCUCCCCUGGGAAAGCCCUGGGAUGACACCCAUAAUUAGCCAAGAAGGGCUCAUCCCUGUGGACACAUUCUCGGCAUUGUUGUAGGCAAAUUCCGCCAGCGCCAACUUUUCUACCCAGUCAUUCUCUCUGUCAUUGACAUAACACCUCAGGUAUUGCUGGAGGACACCGUUUGCUCUUUCCGCCUGCCCGUUGGUUUCAGGGUGCCGGGCAGUCGAAAAAUUGACCUCCACCUGCAGUAAGCUCAUGAGCUUCCUCCAGAACCUGGAAGUAAAUUGUUUUCCUCGGUCUGAGACCACCCUCAAUGGCACUCCGUGCAACCUAAAAAUGUGUUCUACAAAUAACUUCGCUGUCUCUUCCACCGUGACUGCAUGCGAGCAAGCUACAAAGUGGCACAUCUUUGUUAGUAGGUCUACCACCACCAUGAUGGCUGUUUUCCCUUUGGACUUCGGCAGAUCAGUCAUAAAAUCUAUCGACACUGCCUCCCAAGGUCGUUCUGGGGUUGGUAAGGGUUCUAAUAGCCCCGCCGGCGCCCGCCUUUCCCCUUUGGCUCGCUGGCAUUGCUCGCACCCUCUUACAUACUCACGUACAUCUUCCCUCACCUUAGGCCACCAAAAUUCCCUGGUGACCAACCACAUGGUUUUGUGUUGUCCAAAAUGCCCCGCCGUAGGGCUGUCGUGCAACUGCUUGAGUACCCUCCCCUUAAGUCUCCUUCAGGGAUAUACAGUGCCCCUUUGUAAUACAAAGCUCCAUUUCUUUCCUCGAAACCCCCUGGUUCCUCUCCCUCACCCCUAAGACCUCUGAGCUUAUUCUGGGCGUAUUCAUCAUUCUCUGUUUCCUCUACCAGUUCUCUUUGUCCCACCAAUGCCGCCCCACACACCCAGCGGUCCUCUGGAAUGACAUGUCUCUCUUCGGGUGCUCCCUCCCCUUCCAAAUAUUCAGGUUUGCGUGAGAGAGCGUCCGCCCUAAUGUUCUCUGGGCCUGGCACGUAACCAAUCUCAAAGUUAAAUUUGGAGAACUCCUGGGCCCAUCUCACUUGCCGUUGGUUGAGCACUCGUGCCGUCCUCCAAUACUCUAGGUUCUUGUGGUCAGUGCACACUUGCACCUUAUGUUGUGCGCCAAUUAGCAGGUGCCUCCAUCUCCGGAACGCCUCAUGAAUGGCUAGUAGUUCUCGGUCAUACACCGUGUAGUUCCUCUCGGAUUUGUUCAGCUUUCGCGAAAAAAUUGAACACGGUCUCCACUCUGACUCCUCCUUCCCUGGCUGCAGCAGCACCGCCCCAAUCGCUCUGUCUGAUGCGUCAGUUUCCACUCUCAUCGGUUUUUGUAAAUCCACAUGCAGGAGUUGUUGUUCCGAGGCGAAGGCCCUUUUAGUUCCUCAAAUGCUCGCUCCGCCUCCUCAGUCCAAACGAACUUCUUCUUACUGCUGAGACAGUCCGUAAUGGGCGCCGUCAGGUGGGCAAAGUUUCGGAUGAACUUACGAUAGAAGUUCCCAAAUCCUAGGAACCUCUGCACAUCCUUCCUUGUUUUGGGUGUUUUCCAUUCCAGCACCGCCUGGACCUUGCCGGGAUCCAUGGCCAAUCCCUUGUCUGACAGGCGAUACCCCAGGAAUUCCACCUCCUUGGUAUGAAACUGACACUUCUCCAGUUUCACCCACAGCUGGUUGGCUUGCAGCCUGCUCAACACUUCUCUGACGUCUCUCACAUGCUGCUCCUCAUUCUCAGAAUACACCAACACGUCGUCUAAAAGGCCACACAAUUCUUGUAAAGCAAAGGCCCCAGGACGUGGUUCAUAAACGAUUGAAAGGUUGCGGAGCCUGCUUGUAGGCCGAAGGGCAUAACCAAAUAUUCAAAUGCCCCUAAAGGGGUGAACAUGGUGGUUUUCCAUUCAUCCCCCUUCCUUAUUCGUACCAGGUUGUACGCCCCCCUUAGGUCCAGCUUUGUGAAAAUCUUUCCCUUCCGCACCCUUGUCAAAAUGUCGUCAAUCCUGGGCAUAGGGAAGGCCACUGGUUCUGACACUGCAUUUAAGGCCCUGAAGUCACACACCAGCCUCGGCUUGUUCGUGUUUUUAUCCACAAAAACACUGGGCUGCCCCCACCGCCCUGGACUCUCUGAUGAACCCUCUCUUCAGGUUCUUGUCAAUGAACUCUCUUAGCUCCUGCAUCUCUCUGUCUGACAUGGCGUACAGCUUGCCUACAGGGAGCUGUGCCCCAGGGAGUAAAUUGAUUUGACAGUCAAAGGGUCUAUGCGGGGGUAGUUGGUCAGCUUCCCUUUCGCUGAAGACGUCGCGGAGAUCUGCGUAUUGUCGUGGUACCUUCACGUUCUCCGUUACUUCAGUCCCUGCUAGGGUGGCUUGGGCCCCUGCCAAACCCUUUCCCUCUUUGCAGUGUUCUAAGCAAUGUGCUGAACCAAAAGAAACCACUCUCUGAUGCCAGCCCACCAGCGGAUCAUGUAACGCUAGCCAGCUCAUCCCCAAUAUAAUGGGAGCUCCUCCCAAGGUGGCCACAUUAAACGCUAUCAGUUCGGUGUGCCUUGCCACCUUCAUUAUCAUUGGGACGGUCUGCAAGCUGACUUCUCCUCCCAACAGCUCCCUGCCAUCGAUCGUGGUCACCUGCAGGGGGUUGCUUAAAGGGAUCGUCUGUAUCUGGUGUUCAGCUGCAAACUCUUUGCUCAUGAAAUUGCAGGAGCUGCCUGAGUCCAACAGCGCCUUUAUCUUUAGAGGGUGUCCGUUUGGCAGCUCUAGCGCCACUUCUAUCACUAGGGCGGGUUUAGGAGGUUCUGGCGUGGGCACUCUCACUGCUCUUUGGCCUGGCUGCUGUGCCCCGACGGUGGCAGCCAGGCGUUGGCUUUACUUGCUCCGGUAUUUCUUCCUCUCUUCCCUCCACAGCUCCUACCAUCCCUUGCCAUUCCUUCCUCUGGGGGCAGACUCUGGCAAAGUGACCUGGCUGUUGGCAGAGAUAGCAUUUCCGGGCACGUUUUCCCUCCUUCUUUCCCCCCUCACUGGGCUUUGAAACUGCGCGCGCGCGCAGUUCCGAUUUCCAUCGGCUCUGCCGGCGGGAAAGUUGGCUCUGGAAUGUCUGGAAUGCGGAACUCCUUCCAACGUUCCCCUUCCCUUCCCGCCUCUCCAAUGCUCUCGCCUCCUGGCGCGCUCCUAUGGUCAGCGCUGAUUUGGUCAGCUGGUCCAUAGACUCCGCCCUGGGCGCCCGGGAAAGUUCGUCUUUCACAGCCGAAGAAAGCCCUUCUUCAAAGAGCAUUUGAAUGGGUUCCGCCGAUAAGUCCCACCCCAAUCUGUGAACCAGCAUGGUGAACUCAGUCCAGUACUCACGGACAGAUCGGCUCCCUGUUUGCAAGCCAUUAACUGUCUGCGCACCACUCCCUGUUCAAUAUCGCUGGAAAACAUCAGAUCCAUGGCGCGAAAGAACUUCAUCGUGUCCUUUAGGACGUCACUAUUCGCUGCCAUCAGGGGUCUAACCCAGUCUUUCGCCCCCUUUUCAAGAUGCCCAAUCACGAAAGCCACUCGUGAUUCCUCGUCAGGGAAUUCAUCAAACUGCAGAUUGAGGGCAUAUUGCAUCUCUGUCCGAAAGCCAUGAUAGUCUUUGGGCUCCCCAAACUUCUGCACCAAUCCUGGUACCUUUCUGGCGAGCUGGGUGGCUUCCCCUUUUUGUCUGCAUCCUGAGCCCUCCUCUCCUCAAGCCUCGCCGUCUGCAGCGCUAGCUGGACCUCCAACACCCGGUACCUUUCUUCCAGGCUUGGACCCGCUCCAGCUCCUGCUUCUCCGGUUCCGGCUGGGUUGCUCAUGAUGCCUUCUCCUGCACAAGCUGCUUUCAAAGACUGUCGGAAUGCUGUGAUGGGAUGAUGAGCUGCUUGUGCGUAAAAUAGUAUCCCCUCAGAGUUUGUUCAAGUCCACAAACCUCUGUCUGUGACGGAGCCCUUCAGACAUGGCUCCUCUAGUCACUAGCAGAUUCCGACAGUGGUUGCUUCGGAAACGCUUCCAACAUAAAGCUCCUUAACGGAAACACGUCUUCUGGACUCUCUGCGUGACAGUUUCCGGCGAGGAGUGGGUGUUCCUACAGGAGGUCCUGAAACCUCCCCACUGUUUUCGCUGGAAGUGUCUCUGAGCCAUCCCUCCAGCUCACUUUCCCUCAGCUCAGCUCCUCUCCCCCUACUGGUUCCCUCUUCAGCUGCUGAGUCUCUCCCAACCUGUGUGAGCCCUUUCACCUCCCUUCCUUCCGAUGGCAGUUCCCUGACAGAAGGUGACCCUGAAACUACAACUAAUCCAGAAUGCGGUAGCUAGACUGGUGACUGGGAGCGGCCGCCGAGACCAUACAACACUGGGCUUGAAAGACCUACACUGGCUCCCAGUACGUUUCCGAGCACAAUUCAAAGUGUUGAUGCUGACCUUUAAAGCCCAAAACGGCCUCAGCCCAGUAUACCUGAAGGAGCGUCUCCACCUCCAUCAUUCUGCCCAGACACUAAGGUCCAGCGCUGAGGGCCUUCUGGCGGUUCCUUCGCUACGAGAAGCCAAGUUACAGGGAACCAGGCAGAGGGCCUUCUCAGUAGUGGCACCUGCCCUGCGGAACGCCCUCCCACCAGAUGUCAAAGAGAAAAAUAUCUACCAAACUUUUAGAAGACAUCUGAAGGCAGCCCUGUUUAGGGAAGCUCUUAAUGUUUAAUAGGUUAUUGUAUUUUAGUGUUUUGUUGGUGUAGCCUUAUGAGGCUUUGCCCUCGGGUGGGAAAAAUAUUGCGCCUGGGAAAGGGAAGUGGGAGUCAACAGACACUCAAGGAAUAGUUUCGGAGAAAAAGGUUUUAUUUCUACCAUCCAUGAACUGGUAGAAGGAGCAAGUGUGAUAGUCCGCAAAAGCAUGCACGAAGUUCACAGUCCUGUGCACAAGCAUAUAUACCCCUUUCCAGUUCCCUCCUCCUUUCUCCUCCCUCAGAAGUCCUGCCCCAUGAGUUCCUCUGAGCAUGAACAGAAAGCUGUCUUGGGACUAUUAGACUCUUCCCAGGAAAGGGGGAAUGAGAAGCCGAGGGGGUGGGUCGAGGAGCCCUGGUGGUUCAGCAUGUCCAAGAUGUUGCAUUCGUUUCCCAGGCCUGAGUAUUCUUGGCAAUGACAGAGCCUAUAUAUUAGCCUUUAAAAGUAACAUUUUGCCUUUUGCCACAGCAUCUUGUGAGAAAAGCAGAGAAGAGCAGAGAAAAGCUGUUUUGGAUUUUUAGAAGACAAAAGGAGUUUUGGACAGUUUUGAGGCCUGGUUGAUUAUUGAAGCCUGGGGUGAUUUCACAGACAGGAUUUGCAUAUCCUGUCCCUACAUUGGAAGCCGCCCAGAGUGGCUGGGGAAG